rnacentral:rRNA from 1 species
UACAGAGGUCUCGAGCGUUGUUCGGAUUCAUUGGGCGUAAAGGGUGUGUAGGUGGCGCCGUAAGUCGGGUGUGAAAUCUCGGGGCUUAACUCCGAAACUGCAUUCGAUACUGCCGUGCUUGAGGACUGGAGAGGAGACUGGAAUUUACGGUGUAGCGGUGAAAUGCGUAGAUAUCGUAAGGAAGACCAGUGGCGAAGGCGGGUCUCUGGACAGUUCCUGACGCUGAAGCACGAAGGCCAGGGGAGCAAACGGG